ensembl:lncRNA
CAAAAAUCCAGUCCUCGCGCAGCCCCGGCAACCUGUGCCUGUCGUCCCCGCAAAGUGAGAGCUCCUAAUUGGACCGUGCAACAUCCUCGCUGCCCGGAACCGCCCCCCGACCCAAAGGCCGCCGCUGCUAUUCAAAGAAUGUUGGGAACCAGAACCCAGUAAGAGUGUGUGGAAAUGUGGUAUCGUAGCUCAGACAACGUCGAAAAAUCCUUCUGUUUCUCAACUAUCGUCUCGGCUAAGACCGGAGUCCUGCUGCCUCAACACCAAUGUAAACACCCAUCUGCAGAGGGUGCCAGCUACAGUAAUCACUAUGGAACCUCCUUCUCUCUAGGGCCCUGAGAUCAAGUCCAGCUUUCUCAAUGGUCCAGACAAGGCAAGACCCACCCUUCUUUGGGGAGGUUUGUUUGUUUUGUUUGGUCAAAACAGAGUUUCUCUGUGUAACCCUGGCUGUCCUGGAACUUGCUCUCUGAACCAGGCUGGCCUCAAACUCAGAGAUCUGCCUGCCUCUGCCUCCCAAGUUCUGGGAUUAAUAAAGCACUGCCACAUCUUGCCCUCCCUCUGCUCAUGACCUGGUUUCAACUUUAAGAAACCAGAAUCCACCAGACAGGCCUUCCCAGCAUUUUCCCAGGAAAAUGGCUCCCAGUAGAAGAAAACCAAGGUUUGUGGCCAUUGGCUCUUGCCAUCUCCAUUCAACAUCUCCCUUGGUCACCGUCAAUUUCUUGUUCCGUGCCUGAUCAUUUCUGUCGUCAUGCAAACACACUGUGCACCUCUCGUUCCAAGAAAGCUGUCGCCGCAUCCUUUCACAAGGCAAUUGGGUGAGGCGGGUGUUGGAAGAGCUCUCUACACUCCGAAGAACAAUAAAGGAAGCAAAAAAGCAGGAAACUGUCUGAGGAUGUGCCUGCUAAAGGGAAAAGAUGGCGUGCACCAUGCAUGGGACACAAGAAACAAAGAAGUGCCAAGGGGAGAGCUCACUGCACUCACCCAGUGGGGCAGCCAGAGAGCCAGGACGACAUGGUAGAAAGGAAGCAAAAAGCCAGGAGGGGAAAAGGCAGAAGCUGUAAAGGCUUGAACUAGUGAGGCAGCACCUGCCUCUGAGGGUAAACACGGGUUAGGAAUGGGAGAAAGUGAGAGAUGAGAACCUACGAUCCAGAUGUCGGCCUUGGCAGCUGGGGGAAAAAUGUUUUCCACAGGACAAAUGUCAGGGGGUCUCCUACAGUUCCAGAGAGGUGAAUUUCACUUUUCAGAGCACGGUCCAUCUCAAGGGGAAGCUGGGACAACAGGGAAAACACCCUGGUCGUCUGAAUGGAAUUCCGUCUGUAAUCUUCUUGGGAAGUGCCUGGAGCGUGGGGAAUGCCCAAAUGUGCUGGUCCACAAGCUCCACUGAGAGCACAGAAGGGAACCAGAUGCUGGUGUGCCAUCACAGGAGAGGGCUCCUAAGCCGAGCGGCCUUAACCCAAAGCCUGAGAAAUAACAGGUGGGGGGGACGGCGAAUGGGAACCGGCAGGGCUUGGUAUGUGGAAACCCAGGUUGUAUGCGAUUAACUUAGUUAGUGCUUCCAACUGUCUGAUAAGGGGCAAUAGUCUUGGUUUUCCCAUUUUACAGACAAAGAGAACGGAGCUGAGAACGGUGAGAGGAGCUGAGUUUGUUGGCCCUCAGCUACGAGAACAGGGCCGAGGCUACCCCAGCGCUAUAAUACUGAGCUACCUCACCAGCAAAAUGUCCCAGGCGGAGCAAGCAACAGGCAAAAAGGUAUUGAAGUCUUAGGAAGGAAACAGUACAUCUCUGUGUAAAGGGAGGCAAAACAGAGACACACUGGAUCCCAUCUGUAGAUCAAAGCCAAGGAAGUGUUUGGCCCAUUUCUGCACACGCUCGAUGAAUCCCCAUAGGAUUCUAAAAAAA